rnacentral:lncRNA from 1 species
UCAUUACUCGUUGGAGACCUCAAGAUGCUUUCUGCUCUUGCAACUCGACAGCACCAAAUGCCCUGCAGAAGAAAUUACUAGCAAGCAAUUUCAGUUCAUAUUCCUUGUUUAUGCCAUCCGUGUAUAACUCAGGUAUAAGAGCUCCUUAUGUUGUCCUAUAAAUGAUUUUUUUUCAAACAAAUAAAUCUUACAACGUCUGCAUGCACAUAGUUAGGAGAUUGAUGCUCUUGUAAGACAGACGAGUGUUGGAAGAUCAUAAGACAGUCGAUUAAAUAUUUUAUAGUAUUUAUUCAUUUCUGGUCAGUAGGAUAAUGAUUUCUUCCCUUGAUUUCAUGCGGAAAAGCGAUGAAAUUCCGCCAGAAAUCAACUGUAAGUGAAACACUGCAUUCAAUCUGCCGUCUCAUAUUCUUUCUCAUGUAUUGUUCAUUGUUUUGAUCGCAUCAAUAUGAACACACGGUGUAUCAUCAGAACCCUAGACGGGUGAAUCUCUUAUGUUCAACGAUCCAUGAAUGAUACAGUGAACGCUGAAUAACCAGCAACCUGCCCACAAAAGGAAAACGAAAGGGUACCACAAGAUGAGUCCCUGGAAAUUUACUGCUCAUUCAUUAGCAUCAUUUUUUUGCAAGCUGAAUCUCGAUAGCAGCUGGUGCUGAGUUCAUACUGUCCAUGAAGUUCCCACUUGUUUUCUUCGUAG